UCUUCGGAGGCGUUACACAGGUGCUGCAUGGCCGUCGUCAGCUCGUGUCGUGAGAUGUUUGGUUAAGUCCAGCAACGAGCGCAACCCCUGUUGCCAGUUACCAGCACGUGAAGGUGGGGACUCUGGCGAGACUGCCCAGAUCAACUGGGAGGAAGGUGGGGACGACGUCAGGUCAGUAUGGCCCUUAUGCCCAGGGCUGCACACGUACUACAAUGCCCAGUACAGAGGGGGCCGAAGCCGCGAGGCGGAGGAAAUCCUAAAAACUGGGCCCAGUUCGGACUGUAGGCUGCAACCCGCCUACACGAAGCCGGAAUCGCUAGUAAUGGCGCAUCAGCUACGGCGCCGUGAAUACGUUCCCGGGUCUUGUACACACCGCCCGUCACAUCAUGGAAGCCGGUCGCACCCGAAGUAUCUGAAGCCAACCGCAAGGAGGCAGGGUCCUAAGGUGAGACUGGUAACUGGGAUGAAGUCGUAACAAGGUAGCCGUAGGGGAACCUGCGGCUGGAUCACCUCCUU
rnacentral:rRNA from 1 species